CCUACGGGAUGCAGCAGUCGAGAAUUAUUCACAAUGGGGGAAACCCUGAUGGUGCGACGCCGCGUGGGGGAAUGAAGGUCUUCGGAUUGUAAACCCCUGUCAUGUGGGAGCAAAUUAAAAAGAUAGUACCACAAGAGGAAGAGACGGCUAACUCUGUGCCAGCAGCCGCGGUAAUACAGAGGUCUCAAGCGUUGUUCGGAAUCACUGGGCGUAAGGCGUGCGUAGGCUGUUUCGUAAGUCGUGUGUGAAAGGCGCGGGCUCAACCCGCGGACGGCACAUGAUACUGCGAGACUAGAGUAAUGGAGGGGGAACCGGAAUUCUCGGUGUAGCAGUGAAAUGCGUAGAUAUCGAGAGGAACACUCGUGGCGAAGGCGGGUUCCUGGACAUUAACUGACGCUGAGGCACGAAGGCCAGGGGAGCGAAAGGGAUUAGAUACCCGUGUAGUC
rnacentral:rRNA from 1 species